UCAUUCUCUUAAAUCUGCACUAUUUCUCUUCCUCUUCCGUCACUUAUUCGUUCUCUUUUUAUGGUUCUUCCUCUUCAUGGUUUUCUCUGUCCUUCAAUCUCCACCAUUCUUGGUUUCUCCUAUUCACUAUGUUUCUUCUCCUUAUCUUUUUCUUCCUCUUAUCCACCGUCUCUUCUUAUUUAGGUAUGUAUUUCUUCCUAUCUUCUUUUUUAAAGCCCUUCUUUUCUUUCUUUUUGAAUCGAUCAUCAUCUUUUCUUUUUUUUUAUGUGAAUCGAUCAUCAUCUAUAAGAAAUUAAGGCUACAAUUUGUUCUUUCUCAUCUCUUUUGUAUGUUUUUUUAUUUGUUCCUCAUCUCUUUUACCAAGUGGGGCUUUGCAAAGUUUGAUUUUUUUUGUUUUUUAAUUUGUUUCAGUUUUUUAGAGUGAUUUGAUAUACUUUUAUUAUAUGUAUUAGUUGACUAAUACACUUAUGAUUACUUUUUAUUACUGCAGUUCAUUAUAGUUAUGGUUAAACUUGCAGUCAUUGUAUUUCAUAGUGGUCAAUGGGAUGAGCAACAGUGUUAUGUAGACUACAAAACAAAUUAUGUUUUGGUUGAUGAAGUGACAUCAUCAUUUGAUUCUUUUGUGAACUUGAUACAUACUGAAAUUCAAAUUUAGUCAUGUAUUGAACUUUCAAUUUUGUUGCCUACAGGUAGUAAUGAUGUUCAACAUGUUCUUAAGAUUGUUGAAAAUAAAGGUGACUUGGUUCUUGACACUGGUUAAGGAUCAAUCUACCCAAUAUCCUUUAGUUGCUCAUUCUAUAGACACGAUUUUAGAUGUGUCAAUUGGUUCUUCUUCUUCCAUAGUUGAGGCUGAUUUAGGAUGUGAAUUAUCAAUUUUUAGAGAUGUUGAUAUUACUAAUACUACGAUGAGGUGGCUUUUAAGGAGAAGGAUUUGUUUUGUAAUAAGAAAAUUUUGAUGAAGGCAUUUCGCUUUAUAGCUGUCAAGACUAAUUUUGAAUUUAAAACAUUGAGAUCUAAUUCAAGAUCUAUUGAGUUGGGAUGUAAUGAAGAUGGUUGUCUUUGGUUUGUUAGAGCAUCACAUUAUAAAAGAAGUGAAUUAUGGAUGAUUCGAAAAUAUGUUAGUGAUCAUAGUUGCUGAAUGAUUGUUCAUUCUUCUCAUAAGCAAGCAUCUUCAGAAUUUAUAGUCAAUGUAUGAUUGAUUAUUUGAGGUAUAGUUAUUCUCAUUCAACACCAAAAGAUAUCAUUCACCAUAUGUAUGAAUUAUGGAGUUUCUGUUAGCUAUUAUAAGGCUUGGAGAGCAAAAAAAUAUGUUAUGAAGUUGUUGAAAGGAGAUGUCGAUAAUUCUUAUGCUUUGAUUCCAAAGUUCUUUUCAAAACUAAAAGAAAUAAAUCCAGGUUUGCUUUCUACCACUUAAUUUAGUAUAUUGUUCAAUUUAUUUCAUUUUUUUAUACUAUUGUCAAUUUUUGUAUAUUAGUUUAUUGAUACACCUAUUAUGAAGUAUACUUAUUAUAUGAUGUACGCAAUACUAAUUAUAUGUUUUCAUUCACUAUUUUACUUGUAUAGUUGGUACACUAGCUAGUUGUUGUAUCAUUUUACUGAGAUACCUAUGAUGAAGUAUACUUAUUGUAUGAUGUAUGCACUUACUAUUUAGUACUUUUAUUAAUUUGAUUGUUCUAUUUUGUUCCUUUUUUGUAAGUUCAUUUACUGCAUAUGAAAUAGAUGCAAAUGGCCAUUUCAAAUAUCGUUUCAUGGCUAUUGCAUCAUCAAUUGAAGGUUGGAGAUAUUGUAGACCAAAAUAUAGCAGUUGAUGAGACAUUUUUAAAGUGUAAGUAUGAUGGAACAUUGUUAACGGCAGCAACUAUGGAUGGUAAUAGUAAAAUUUUCCCUCUUGCAGUUAGUAUAUAGAUUCAGAGAAUGAUGCUUCUUGGAAAUGGUUUUUGAACAAUUAAAACUUUCUUUUGGAGAUCGAGAGGGAUUGGUUAUUAUUUCUGAUAGACAUAUAAGUAUUCCAAAAGGUGUUUUAGAUGUGUUUCCAUUGGUACAAUAUUGCGUUUAUGUAUAACAUCUUUUGAAAAGUGUCAAGUUGUCAUUUAAAGUCUCUUUAAUUGAAAAGCUUUUUCGUCAAUGUGCAUACUCUUAUACAGUAGAUGAUUUUGAGUUAUAUAUGAGAUGGAUGGAGUCAAUAUACUCAUCUAUUAAAGUAUAUCUCAUGAAAGUUGGUUUUGAGAGAUGGUCACUCGUAUAAUCUAGAAAAAGAAGAUAUCAAAUAAUGAGAACAAAUAUUUGUGAAAGCUUGAAUUCUAAGUUGAAGAUUGAUAGAGACUUACUUGUUUCAUCCUUGCUUGAGGCCAUUAGAGAGUUUCUUCAACAACGAUUUUAUGAGAGAAGAAAAACAGCCUCAUGUUCAAAGAGUGUUUUGAGUUCUUGGGCUGAAGGACCAAUAAGAAAGCUAGUUGAUGAAUCACGAAGCUUCAUUGUUAAUCUUGUGAGUGAAGAUGAAUUUCAAAUAGUUAACGGAGGCAAGAAUUUUUUAGUAAAGUUGAAUUGUAAUAGCUAUAGUUGUCUUUUUUAGGAUCUAGAAGAAAUUCCAUGUGCUCAUGCUCUUAUUGUGAUUCGUAGCCUUAAUUUGGAUCCUUAUUCAUUUGUUUCACAGUAUUAUUAUGCUAGUGUAUUGUCUGCAACUUAUUGUGGAUUAGUUCGUCCGAUUAGCAACCAUACUAAUUGGAGUGUUGUGGAGGUGAAUGACAAUGUAUUGCCUCUAGUAUAUAGACGUUCAGCAGGAAGGCCUCGAAAAAGAAGGAUUCCUUCUAUUGGUGAAGUUUCAAAGAGCACAAAAUGCAGUCGUUGUAAGAAAGUCGGUCAUAAUAUUAGGACUUGUACAUUUGAACUCGUUUGAACAAUUUAAUUGUUUUGAAAUUUAGUAAUUAUCAAUGAUGUAGUAUUUGAACAA